rnacentral:lncRNA from 1 species
UUAAGGAUGUACUUAGGUGAGGUUAGGUGAAAAUUAAUAAAUUAAGAAGUUAAAAUUGAUACUAUAAGCCGGUAGAGCAUCAAUUAAGGAUAAAAAAUAAGCUAAAAAUAUUGAUAGGUCAUGGACCUCCUUUUCGAGAUAUUUGAGAUUUAAAAUAUGUCGGGAAAAGGCUGACUAAGACUUUUACCUCAUAUUUGCAUUGGUAUUAUUAGCUCUCAAAACAAAAUAAAGAAAAUUAAGAAUCUUCUAAAAUUUUGGUAAAUGACCUUUCAUGAGCUAUUAAGUCUUGUAUAAAAAAAUAAAUGGGUGUUAUUGG